AGGAGAAGUCUCGCUUGCGGGAUUAGUAAACUGGCGCACGGGUGAGUAACAUGUAAGUAACCUACCUUUAGGUUUGGAAUAACUUCGAGAAAUCGGAACUAAUACCAAAUAAUGCAGCGGCAUCGCAUGAUGAUGUUGUUAAAGUUUUUUAAACGCUUAAAGAUGGGCUUGCACCUGAUUAGUUUGUUGGUGAGGUAACGGCUCACCAAGACUACGAUCAGUAGCUGGUCUGAGAGGAUGAUCAGCCACAUUGGAACUGAGACACGGUCCAGACUCCUACGGGAGGCAGCAGUGAGGAAUAUUGGGCAAUGGGCGAAAGCCUGACCCAGCAACGCCGCGUGGAGGAUGAAUGUCGUAAGAUUGUAAACUCCUUUUGGAGGGGACGAAAAAACGGGUUAGUAGCCCGAAUUGACGGUACCCUCAUAAUAAGCCCCGGCUAACUACGUGCCAGCAGCCGCGGUAAUACGUAGGGGGCAAGCGUUGUCCGGAUUUACUGGGUGUAAAGGGCGCGUAGGCGGGUUCAUAAGUCAGUGGUGAAAUCCUACAGCUUAACUGUAGAACUGCCUUUGAUACUGUGAAUCUUGGGUUCGAAAGAGAGAGGCGGAAUUCCAGGUGUAGUGGUGAAAUACGUAGAUAUCUGGAAGAACACCAGAAGCGAAAGCGGUCUCUUGGUUCGUAUCUGACGCUGAGCGCGAAAGCGCGGGGAGCAAACAGGAUUAGAUACCCUGGUAGUCCACACUGUAAACGAUGAAUACUAGUGUUGGGUCCUUUGGGAUCAGUGCCGCAGCUAACGCAUUAAGUAUUCCACCUGGGGGAGUACGAUCGCAAGGUUG
rnacentral:rRNA from 1 species